rnacentral:rRNA from 1 species
GAGUUUGAUCUUGGCUCAGAUUGAACGCUGGCGGCGUGCCUAACACAUGCAAGUCGAGCGGUAACAGGCGUAGCAAUACGUGCUGACGAGCGGCGAACGGGUGAGCAAUGCUUCGGAAUCUGCCCAAUGAUGGGGAAUAACCAGUCGAAAGAUUGGCUAAUACCGCAUACGCCCUUCGGGGAAAGGCGGGGAGUCGCAAGACCUCGCGUCGAUGGAUGAGCCGAAGUCGGAUUAGCUAGUUGGUAGGGUAACGGCCGUACCAA